UAUAAGUCAGAUGCUGACACUAAAAAACAUCAGUUCCAUUCCAAUCCACAAUAAUGCAGAUCUUCUCACUUGUUACCAUCUUUGUGUUUGUUCUUUUGACUCUGGCCAGCGCACAUGAAUGGCCCGCUACGGCUGGAAGUGGAAAUAUCCUUAUGGUAUAUUGCCUUGGUUGCAUAAAUCAAGGGCAUGUUAAUUAACCUGUUCAAAAUGAACGUGAUCCGAAAGGACAAAAUCAGAAUUAUAACGGAUUUUAUAAAUAUAUGAGCAUUUAAAUAAAUGUUUUAUUUACAUUCUUAAUCACUUUCAAUGUGUUCGGAGUAACAUCGAAAAGUUUAGAAUUAUUUAAGAUUUGCGACAAUUUAAACUUGCCUUUGUUAUUGUGUACAAACAAAUAAAUAAAAUACAUUCUCAAGCGAUAACCUGACUGGGAA